rnacentral:rRNA from 1 species
CCAAUAGCGUAUAUUAAAGUUGUUGCAGUUAAAAAGCUCGUAGUUGAAUUUCGGGAUCAGUACGCUGGUCAUGCCUUUGGUAUGUACUGGUGUCACUGGUUUCUCCCUUCUGAAGAACCGUGAUGUCAUUAAUUUGGUGUCGCGGGGAAUCAGGACUGUUACUUUGAAAAAAUUAGAGUGUUUAAAGCAGGCUCACGCUUGAAUACAUUAGCAUGGAAUA